rnacentral:rRNA from 1 species
AUUGAACGCUGGCGGCAGGCCUAACACAUGCAAGUCGAACGAGUGGCGGACGUGUGUGUAGUGUCUGGGAAACUGCCUGGUGGAGGGGGAUCACUACUGGACACGGUAGCUAAUACCGCAUACCAUCAGAUGUGCCCAUAUGGGAUUAGCUUGUUGGUUGGGUAACGGCGCACCAAGGCGACUAUCCCUAGCUGGUCUGAGAGGAUGACCAGCCACACUGGAACUGAGACACGGUCCAGACUCCUACGGGAGGCAGCAGUGGGGAAUAUUGCACAAUGGGCGCAAGCCUGAUGCAGCCAUGCCGCGUGUAUGAAGAAGGCCUUCGGGUUGUAAAGUACUUUCAGCGGGGAGGCGUUACCCGCAGAAGAAGCACCGGCUAACUCCGUGCCAGCAGCCGCGGUAAUUC